rnacentral:rRNA from 1 species
UCGAGAAUCUUCGGCAAUGAGCGCAAGCUUGACCGAGCGACGCCGCGUGCGGGAUGAAGGCCUUCGGGUUGUAAACCGCUUUGGUCCGAAAGAAAGGGUAAAACUUGAUCGAUCGGAGAAACAAGGACGGGCUAAGUUCGUGCCAGCAGCCGCGGUAACACGAACCGGACAAACGUUAUUCGGAAUUACUGGGCGUAAAGGGCGCGUAGGCGGUGUGUCAAGUCAGUUGUGAAAUCUCCGAGCUUAACUCGGAACGGUCAACUGAUACUGUCACACUAGAGUACAGAAGGGGCAAUCGGAAUUCUUGGUGUAGCGGUGAAAUGCGUAGAUAUCAAGAGGAACACCUGAGGCGAAGGCGGGUUGCUGGGCUGAUACUGACGCUGAGGCGCGAAAGCUAGGGUAGCAAACGGGAUUAGAUACCCAGGUAGUCCCUGAGCGGGCUGGCAAGGCGCAU